rnacentral:lncRNA from 13 species
AUGAAGUGUUCCUAUUGGAAGGUGGCUCUCCUCCACACAGUGACUCAGGGACCCAGGCUUCUUCUGUCUUAUGAUCCUGCCAUCUUCAGAAAUGUGGCUUCCAAGUCACUGUGCUUGUCUGCAUUAUGUGGAAAAGGAAUUAGCAUGAGGAUUGAGCGAAUGACAGAGCAUAGUCUCAUUCUGUUACCCAGGCUGGAGUAUAGUAGCAUGAUCUUGGCUCACUGCAAGCUCUGCAUCCCAGGUUCAAGUGAUUCUCCUGCCUCAGCCUCCCAAGCAGCUAGGACUACAGUGUAGGAAUUUACUGGGUUGGAGGACUUGCUGUCAUUCAAGUACCAUAGUAACUGCUGCCUCUAUUCAAGUCUGUGGUAAGACUUUAAAAAUUUGGAACUCAAUACUAAAAACUUUCAUAGUAUUGGUAGGAUCUUUGAUGGAGAAAUCUUGCACAAGAAUCCACUAGACCAUAAGUUACAUGACAAGGAAGGGAUGGAAGAAAGAAGGAAGGAGGGAUAAGGCUUCAAAAGAAGGAAAUGUACUACUUCUGUGCCUGUCCUGCAGGCACACACCCACAGGUGCUUCAUAUGAUUCAUCACGCCUCUAAGGAGCAAUAAUCCACCAUCUCUUAAGAGCAGGACUCUGGGUCUGAAUCCAGGCUCUGCCACUUACUGUAUGACUUGGGUAAGUUAUUGAAUCUCCUGUGCCUCAGUUUCCUAACCUAUAAAAUGGGAUGCUAAUAUACUUAGCUGUGGCAAAGACUCGCUACUGUCAAUCACCCUCACAUUGUACUUCUUUAGAUAGGUGUGGCCAGAUGCUUGAGUAACAGCCAAUAAAUAAAUAGGUCAGUCAAUGCA